CGUUGCCGGUGGAAAUCGGUAGUGAAAUUCACUUUGGGUAGGGGCCCGUGUAUCAGUCUGUUGAACUUCCAGGUCAUGUUGGGGCAUGUCCACAAGCUGUUACCUGUUCUCUGGAGAAUUACCGAAUAAUAUAUUUUCCCCAUCUGACAAACCAAAUGGGAACGGCCACCACAGAUAUAUUUGUGAAAGGAAAAGCUUGUUGUGGCCAUUUGGAGUCGUACUUGAUGGUCCUGAGGGCGGAGCCAUCUCCCAUGCUGCGGUAAAUGACGGCGUCGCUGGCCAGGAAGUCCGCCACGGUAGCAGAGUACAGUUUCCCAUCUGCAAGAGACGCGCGGCGAAGGCAAAAGGCAAAGCUGCAGAGGGUACAAAUAAUUGCCAUAGACCAUGCAUAUCGCCUGGUUUGAUUUUUCACAGCUGAGAGUUCUCCAUCAUGCAUUGAGCUCGUGUGAAGUGUCUUCGCUUCCUGUGCAGCUGGUGACGGCAGGCUGCAGGUGACCAGUUGACCAGAGGAGUGGCUCUGCCGUAGUGGCCGAGAAAGGCACAGCCCCUCUGCGUACGGCCCUCCCACCCUGGGCAAGGCUGCGGCCAGUUAUGCGCCAGCCACUGUUAGGCGUCGGCCCCAGCUAUGCGCCAAUGCUCCGGAACGGUCAGAAACUCACAUCACGUUCCGCUGUUCCCUCGAGAAGAGUGCCUCUGCUUGUCCACAUCCUGGUCCAAACCCAUCAGACAAACGAUUUAUCAACCCCUGUAUUAUUUUGCCUGUUGCAAACCCAUUUCUGUUCGCAGGAUUUUAUGCUAGACAAGGGAAGCAUAUUGCUUGGCUGAAUACCUCUGCUUUAGCACAGCCACCCAAAAACCCCUUUGUUGUGCUUUUCAGGGUUUAAUCUACAGUAAGUGUCAAUUAGUCUCGCGGUUUACAUCAAGCACUAUUCAAUGGGCUCAGCCUGACUGCACUGAGCUUUUCUCAACCAGUUUAAAACCAUUUUUUAUUCUUAUGAAACUUACCUUUUAUUCUUUUCAGUGAAUAAUGAUGAAAUGUGUUUUGAAAAUCAAUUGGGUUUUCGAGGUUGAGGUCAGAGGGUUUUGAGGAUUGUUUUAACAUAUUCCCUAGUGUUCUAUUAUGAGUUGGCAUGCUCAUAUAAUGGCUUUUGGCAUAAUUAUUUCUUUAAAAGUAGCCUCGGCAAAUGCAUUCAAAUAUCCAGAAAUUGAAAUACAGGUCUUUUAUUCUUUUGCUUCCAUUAUUUAACCUAAUUAUUCCAUUAUGAGUACUUUUAUUCGCACCUUUUUAUACUGCUUCGAUCAGUUUUAUGCUUAAAACUAGUUUGAUAGAAACAUAGCCUUGGUGAAUGUAAGAACAAUUCUGUCAUUCAAUAUACAGAACAAUUUUAGUGAAAAGAGGUCUAAUUUAUUAUAUUAACAAUGUUAUUUAACAGUGUUAUUCAGGCCUUUUCAUUGUUCGGUAGAUUUUGUAUUAUUGUUUUUAAUUUACACACAUUACACUACAUAACAUGAAUAAAUGAAUGGUCAAAUUGUUUAGCUUAAUAUGUCUUAGUUGUUUGCAUUUUUCUAUUUCCAAUUAAAAAAGUAAUGUAUUGUUUUCCCGAGAAACCCCGGGCCCAUGAUGAUUUGAUUUUCCAAUUCUUCAGCAAUAAUUUCUUUAUGAUGAUUGAUAAAUACACGCUGGUCCCCCUCCUGGGUGCCUUGUGCUUCAUCAUUUCUUUAAAAGGGAUAUUUCACUCUGAUGUAACACAAGUCAUUUUGGGGAGCUUACCCCCAUUGCAUCUGCAUCGCGUGAAUGCUAGCAACAUGUCCUUGUUGUUAAUAGCAGCGCUGUUCCUAUAAAAGGGAGUACUAACAUCAUAAGUUGUUAGUCGACAAAGGAGAGUACUAACGUCAUAAGGUCCCAGGUUUUUCGAGCAGAUACGCUGUUUUCAGGUUUUGGUUAGCUAUAAAUAGAGAGACUAUUUUCAAAUUGGCUACUGCAUGGAAACAUAACAAGCCACAAUUUUUAAAAAAUAUAUAUUUAAAUGCACGCGCCCAUGUGAAUAUUAUUGUGCUCAGGGAUACAUCACUUAAUUAAAACAACAAAACUUUUUUCUUUUAUAAGGCAGAUAUUCAAAGAAUCUUAAGACUGUUUUACAUUAGUACUCUCCUUUAUCCACCUCUUAUCCUCCAUAGUUAGUUUGUGUUUUAAAACGAUUAAUUUUGGUGAGAUCGCGAAAAUGAAUGGGAGUGAAUUAGGAACCAGAAAACCUGAGUAAAGGCUUUGCCAUUAAUAGUCAACAGGGACAUCUGCUGUUGCUAGUAUUCACGUGAUGCAGAUGCACAACAUUGCUUGUGUUAUACCAAAGUGAAAUAUCCCUUUAACUCUUCAUUAGAGAACUCAAUUUCCAUGACUGCACCCAUAAAUCUAUGCCAGUUGGUGCCAUCCAGUCUCAUUUAACCCUCCUUGAUAUAUGACCUCACGUGACUCCCCGAUAUCUGACCUUAUGUAAACCUCCCUGUGGUCUGACUUGAUGCAACUUUCCUUGAAAUCUGAACUCAUAUAACCUUCCUUGAUGUCUGAACUCACAAAACCCUCCCUUAUAUCUGACCUCACGUAUACUGUAUAAAUGCUUUGUGACAUAUACUGUAUGAAUUAUUAAUCAUUCUUUCAUCACACUACUUGUCUGU